AAGAAAGUUCAAUUUUAUUAUUUAUUUUCUCAAAUAAAAAUAGAGAAGCCUUUGAGCGAUUUGAGUCGUGGACUCAUGGGUACAAAGAGCAUUUAAAGGUUCAUUUUUAAAAUUGACCUCUCAGUGAAUAACAAAUGUUAUAUGGAUUUUUUAAAACAUUAGUAGACAGUAUUAUCUCACCUUUGAUGUAUUAUUUAUUUUGAGGAAAUUCAAUAGAAAAGCUAUCAUUGAAGAUGUUCUAUGGUUCUAUAGUAAACCCAACUUCUUAACUUGCUCCGGUUAUAUUGAUAAACUCAAUUAAUGGGUUGGUCUGGUGACACGUGUAACAAUUUUUUUUUUGUCUAACUUUUUUUUUUGCCAUCUUUACAAUUUAAUAAACCAAGAUAUGAAAACUUGUAAGAGACUUUUUUUUAGAAUAGUAACUUGUAAGAGUUGGUAACGCAUUACUCACAUAGUUUAUUUUCAAGAGAUGAUAAGAUGCAUUUAUUUUACAUAAAAUCAUAAACCGAUUUAAUACUUUUGUAUGCCCUAAACAAAUUGUUAACAACAUAUUUUAUUUUUUCUUAAUAUCAUAUAUAGAUAUAUAUAUAUAUAUAUAUAUAUAUAUAUAAAAGAUACCACGCAAACUUAUAUAAACUUAUUC
rnacentral:lncRNA from 1 species